rnacentral:rRNA from 1 species
UACGAAGGUCCCAAGCGUUGUUCGGAAUCACUGGGCGUAAAGGGAGCGUAGGCGGCGUGGUAAGUCAGAUGUGAAAUCCCGGGGCUCAACCUCGGAACUGCAUCCGAUACUGCCAUGCUAGAGGAUUGGAGAGGUAGCUGGAAUUCUUGGUGUAGCAGUGAAAUGCGUAGAGAUCAAGAGGAACACUCGUGGCGAAAGCGAGCUACUGGACAAUAACUGACGCUGAGGCUCGAAGGCUAGGGUAGCAAAAGGG